AUGUUGAACCGCAUGGUUCUACAGUGAAAGACGGUCUUGCUGUCACUUAUAGAUGGACCCGCGCCGUAUUAGCUAGUUGGUGGGGUAACGGCCUACCAAGGCGACGAUACGUAGCCGACCUGAGAGGGUGAUCGGCCACACUGGAACUGAGACACGGUCCAGACUCCUACGGGAGGCAGCAGUAGGGAAUCUUCCGCAAUGGGCGAAAGCCUGACGGAGCAACGCCGCGUGAGUGAUGAAGGUCUUCGGAUCGUAAAGCUCUGUUGUUAGGGAAGAACAAAUGUGUAAGUAACUGUGCACAUCUUGACGGUACCUAACCAGAAAGCCACGGCUAACUACGUGCCAGCAGCCGCGGUAAUACGUAGGUGGCAAGCGUUAUCCGGAAUUAUUGGGCGUAAAGCGCGCGUAGGCGGUUUUUUAAGUCUGAUGUGAAAGCCCACGGCUCAACCGUGGAGGGUCAUUGGAAACUGGAAAACUUGAGUGCAGAAGAGGAAAGUGGAAUUCCAUGUGUAGCGGUGAAAUGCGCAGAGAUAUGGAGGAACACCAGUGGCGAAAGCGGCUUUCUGGUCUGCAACUGACGCUUAAUAUGCGAAAGCGUGGGGAUCAAACAGGAUUAGAUACCCUGGUAGUCCACGCCGUAAACGAUGAGUGCUAAAUGUUAUGGGGUGUCCCCCCCUUAGUGCUGCAGCUAACGCAUUAAACACUCUCUCCGCGGAGUACGGUCGCAAGACUGAAACUCACAGGAAUUGACGGGGACGCCCACAAGCGGUGGAGCAUGUGGUGUAUUUCUAAGCAACGCGGAGAAACAUACCAAAUCUUGACGUCGUCUGACCGCUCUCGAAAUAGAGUUUUCUUCUUCUCAGGACAAAUGACAAGUGGUGCGGGGUGUCGUCUUCUCCUGUCGUGAGAUGUUGGGUUAGUUCCGUCACCACCGCACCCUUGGACUUAUUGUCAUCAUUCCCUAGGAACGCGGAGUGUAUUGCCGGUGGCCGAGCCGAAGAAAGAAGGGAAGGAGGGCGGGCCUUAUUCCCCUCCCGAUUGGGUUUUAAA
rnacentral:rRNA from 1 species